rnacentral:rRNA from 1 species
ACUCCUGCGGGAGGCAGCAGUGGGGAAUAUUGGACAAUGGGCGCAAGCCUGAUCCAGCCAUGCCGCGUGAGUGAUGAAGGCCCUAGGGUUGUAAAGCUCUUUCACCGGUGAAGAUAAUGACGGUAACCGGAGAAGAAGCCCCGGCUAACUUCGUGCCAGCAGCCGCGGUAAUACGAAGGGGGCUAGCGUUGUUCGGAUUUACUGGGCGUAAAGCGCACGUAGGCGGACUAUUAAGUCAGGGGUGAAAUCCCGGGGCUCAACCCCGGAACUGCCUUUGAUACUGGUAGUCUUGAGUUCGAGAGAGGUGAGUGGAAUUCCGAGUGUAGAGGUGAAAUUCGUAGAUAUUCGGAGGAACACCAGUGGCGAAGGCGGCUCACUGGCUCGAUACUGACGCUGAGGUGCGAAAGCGUGGGGAGCAAACAGGAUUAGAAACCCCGGUAGUCC